GUGCAUUAAAAACCUGGGCAUUUUCCGGCUUUCCAGAGUCUUCAUUUCUCACUAACUUUUAGAGCCAAAGAUGCUGCGGGAUUCUACAGCUCAGCAGAGCAUGGGGGCAGGGCAUGCCAGGCGAGUGACCUCAGUCCUAGUGUACUCUCUCUAACACUCAAGUGGAAGACGCCUGAUGGUGUUCUCUGCACUGCAGUUGUGGGCGACUGGAGCAGCUGCUGCUUGGAUAGCAAGCUGCUGAUCUCCUUUUCAAGAGCCCCGAGGCAGAGCAAGGAGAAGGGAGCCAUGAGAGAGCCUAUGCCUGGGCAUCUUGGGCACCCUGGGUAUCCUGAGAGGUGGCACCACAGCAGUCACAGCAGUCCCUGAGAGGACAGGGGUGGACAGGCCAGAGCUGCAGUGCUCUUCCCUCCUCCAGCAAAUGCAACAAGUGUUUCCUGGAUCUAGAACAGACACAGGCCCGCCCGCCCUCACAGACAGCGGGGCGAUGGCCGGCAUGAGACCCCAAACACCAAGUGAAGGGAAUGACUUGGACUAAUGUUUCACUGAGCAGGCCUGAGACUAUAAUCAACCUCUGAGGUUAAAUUACAAAGCACCCUUCACACCUCAAAUGACUGAGGCUUUUAUAUGACCCAGCAAUGAACAAGCACAGAGGGACAGGCAUCUCCCACACAAGGGGGACAUCACUA
rnacentral:lncRNA from 1 species